CCCUUAGACGUUCUGGGCCGCACGCGCGCUACACUGACUAGUCCAACGAGUGUUUGUACCUUUGCUGAUAGGCAUGGGCAAUCUCUGAACGCUAGUCGUGAUAGGGAUCGAUUUUUGGAAUUAUUAAUCGUCAACGAGGAAUUCCUAGUAAACGCGAGUCAUCAGCUCGCAUUGAUUACGUCCCUGCCCUUUGUACACACCGCCCGUCGCACCUACCGAUUGAAUGGUCCGGUGAAGCCUCCGGAUUGGACGUGCUGACCCUGUCAGCCGGCCGAGAAGUUGGCUAAAUCUUACCAUUUAGAGGAAGGUGAAGUCGUAACA
rnacentral:rRNA from 1 species